AAUCAACGCUGGCGGCGUGCCUCAGACAUGCAAGUCGAACGCGAAAGUCCCCUUCGGGGGACAAGUAGAGUGGCGCACGGGUGAGUAACACGUAGGUAAUCUACCUUCGGAUGGGGAAUAACAACCGGAAACGGUUGCUAAUACCGCAUAAUGCAGCGGCACCUAAUGGUGACAGUUGUUAAAGCGGGGGAUCGAAAGACCCCGCGUCUGAAGAGGAGCCUGCGGCGGAUUAGCUAGUUGGAGGGUAAUGGCUUACCAAGGCGACGAUCCGUAGCCGGCCUGAGAGGGCGGGUCGGCCACACUGACACUGACAUACGGGUCAGACUCCUACGGGAGGCAGCA
rnacentral:rRNA from 1 species